rnacentral:lncRNA from 1 species
AUUUUAUCACAAAGGCAAGGUAUAACUCAUCUCUUCCUUUCUCUUAAGCAAAUGACCUGAAUACCAUGAGGUAUCCACCCACACCUAAAAUUUAUCAUCCUAGUCAUCCCUGUUUUCUAUCAAGUUUUAUUCUUUGAUAAAAUCCCAUGAGCUUUCCCUUCAAAAUGGGUAGGAACAAACCUCAGAAUAUUCCAUCUUUAUGACACCACUGAAAAUGUUGAAUUCAGUUUUAGUGCUUUUGUUCAUUUAGAGAAAAGAGACUUGGAGCCAGAUUGGUACACUGGGAGUUUGUUGGCACUGCUGCUGAGAGGGACGAGCCCGAGAAAAUGAAAGUAGAACUUGGCAAACAAGAAUGGAUCCUGCAGUUCAGUAGUCCAAAGCCAACAGCCAGUCCCUUGUAGAAUUUUGAAGGUGGGAUGACACUUCAACAUUCUGCUCAGCUGAGACAAGCGGUUCCCUUUGACCAAAGGCAUAUCUGAGGCUGGGAAUUUAUCCGUGACUUGUUACCA